rnacentral:rRNA from 12 species
UAUGUUGUCAAUAGUGUCUGUAACUGUGGCCCCGAUCCUGUCAGAUCUCGGAAGCUAAGUAUGGCUGGGCCUGGUUAGUACUUGAAUGGUAGACCACCUGGGAAGACCAAGGGACAUUAAGC